UGGGGAAUAUUGGACAAUGGGCGAAAGCCUGGUCCAGCCAUGCCGCGUGUGUGAAGAAGGCCUUUUGGUUGUAAAGCACUUUAAGCGAGGAGGAGGCUACUGAGAUUAAUACUCUUGGAUAGUGGACGUUACUCGCAGAAUAAGCACCGGCUAACUCUGUG
rnacentral:rRNA from 1 species